GUGAGGAAUAUUGGUCAAUGGACGAGAGUCUGAACCAGCCAAGUCGCGUGAAGGAAGACGGUUCUAUGAAUUGUAAACUUCUUUUGUGCAGGAAUAAAGUGGGUUACGUGUAACCUUUUGUAUGUACUGUACGAAUAAGGAUCGGCUAACUCCGUGCCAGCAGCCGCGGUAAUACGGAGGAUCCGAGCGUUAUCCGGAUUUAUUGGGUUUAAAGGGUGCGUAGGCGGAUUGGAAAGUCAGCGGUGAAAGUUUGCAGCUUAACUGUAAAAUUGCCAUUGAAACUGUCAGUCUUGAGUGCAAAUGAGGUAGGCGGAAUGUGUUGUGUAGCGGUGAAAUGCAUAGAUAUAACACAGAACACCAAUUGCGAAGGCAGCUUACUGGGAUGCAACUGACGCUGAGGCACGAAAGCGUGGGGAUCAAACAGGAUUAGAAACCCGUGUAGUCC
rnacentral:rRNA from 1 species